AUGGAGAAGACACCAGAACGAAACAGAAAGCGGCUUUGUAUGAACAGGCAGGAAGGCAGAGGGAGGAAAGCAAAAUGCACAUGCAACGCCUGUCUUAGGCAGAUGUGAAACUCACACCAUUGGAAUGAAUCUUGGGUUCUAAGGGCAAAGGAGGGAAGGUAACCCAUCACUGAGAACCACAUGUCUUCUACUUUUCUCCAGAUGUUUCCCCAUCCCAAGGCAUUAUCAGUCUACAGCUCCUGAAAGAACAAAAAUAGGAAAUUUCCUUUAAAAGGAGAUGAACAAGGUCCCAGAUGGCUCCUGAUCUGAUGCAUCCAACCAGGAUAUCCAGAGACCACUGAACAAAUGAACCAUCUUGAAAGUAGAUGACAAGUCAUCCAAAGGAGACAUCCCAAGAGGAAAAGGAAGCUUGUAACUUGGGGAGACAUCAGGGCUUUAAUUCAUCAAGCUGAGACUUUGGGAAACCAACAAAGACUGAUCCCAAGAUGAUACUGAGUGUUACAUGUUAACACUCAGCUUGUCACUGCAGAAUCCAAAUGCCUUUUGUCCGGUGGAGAGUGGAUAAAACACAUCUGUGAUAGGAAACAGUAUGAUAUCGUUCCACCAAGCUAAAGGACUGUUUAUAAAGGUUUAUGUGGAAUAGGC